UUUCCGUAGGUGAACCUGCGGAAGGAUCAUUACCUAGAGUUGUAGGCUUUGCCUGCUAUCUCUUACCCAUGUCUUUUGAGUACCUUCGUUUCCUCGGUGGGUUCGCCCGCCAGCGAGGACCCCCACAAACCCUUUGUAAUAGCAAUAUUCGUCUGAAAAACAACCAAUAAUCAAAACUUUCAACAAUGGAUCUCUUGGUUCUGGCAUCGAUGAAGAACGCAGC
rnacentral:misc_RNA from 1 species